GGAAGGAGGAGGCAGCCAGAGAGGCCUCCACUGUUCUCUGCAGCAGAAGACCCCCUGCUGCCAGGAGCUGCUGAGGCACCACUUUUCCUCUCUGGACAGCUAGAUGAAAUGCAAAGGGGAAAGCUGCAGGCUGAAUAAAAAAAGACUGGCACAUUUCAGAUAGCAUUUCAACUUCUUUUUGCAACAUUUAAUUGCCUAUUCCCGCAUUUGGCAAGGGGAGGAGGAUAGAAGCAAAAGGUUCCUUGCCAGUAGAAUGUUUACAGGCCAGCUAACAGGCUUGUAUCUGAUGGAGCCAGAUCCUGUUGUCCAACUAGAGCAUCUUGCAACCACCUCUUCAAAGAAAGAAAGCCAAUCUUGCCUCUAAACCUGGAGGUAGCCGAUAGCCAUCAAGACUAGUAGCCAUUGAUAGACCUGUCCUCCAGGAAUUUGUCUAAGCCCCUUUUAAAGGCACUCAAGCUGGUGACUAUCAUCAAUCACAUAGUUUAGAGAUCCUUUUGGAGCUCCUCACAAUCUUUUUUUGAUUUAAUCAUGCUGCUUUCCCAACUUCUAGAUAGGCCUGCAGCAAAGCCAAAACAGAGCCCACCAGUGGUCAAAUAUUCUCUGGGCUGCCUGCCUAAUAUAGCAAAAAUAGGAGGGUUGCUGGGCCUCAGUUAGGGCACAAGUUGUACAAAUCUGGUAUAAAAGUACCAUAGCCUCCCUCUUAUGUAGAACUAUUAAGAGAAAAAAAGUACAUGACUUAAUGUAUUAAAUUUUACAUCCAGCAGGAGACUUAGAUAAUGCUAAAGAACCAAAUGCAGUGUCUCCAUUACUGGAAGUUUCCUGAUAGUUCUACAGUAAUCACUUCAUCAUCAAUUAAUAAAAUCAACAGCUCCAAUGAUGCCUCUGAACCCAGAAAUACUCCACUCAAGCUUUAAUUAAUAAGAAGCAGUGAAUUUCCAACUGAAAAUCAAUCAGGGCUGGUUCAGAUGUCAUGCAGAAUUUAUAUUAAACCUGGGCUCCAAACAACAUCUCUGCGCUUCGGAAAUGCUGCUUCUC